UGUUCACCCAAAAAUUCUGCUCCAUAUAAUUCCCAAUUAUCACAAGUUAUCCUUAUACUUUUAGAAUAAAUUUAAUAAUCAAGCUUCAAUCUGUUAACAGUUCUCAAACUUAAUUCUAAUUAAUCAUGAACCAACAUUAACAACUACCAAAACCAAUUCCAACUAGUCACAAGUCAAUUUCACAGCCAUUCCGAUACAUCACAUAACUAAAAACAACAACAAGCACUUACUCUCCAUAACCAGAAUACAGCCACACAACUCAACUAAUUCAGUAUAAUCACAUAGAAUCAGAACUUUUCAACAAUCCCAU